GUGCCGGUUAGCUCAGUCAGUUGAGCAUGACACUAACAACGCUAAGGUCACGGGUUCGAUUCCCGUUCGGUCUC
rnacentral:tRNA from 1 species